AUGCAGUUACAGCUCGAGGACGAAAGGAUAAGAAAGAACAAGUAUGAAUUCCGUAAGAGAAAGGAAUUGGAACGGCGUCAAAAGGCUGCAUGUGUUGAUGUCGAUGUUGAUGUUGCUCAAGCUCCUAAAUGUACAAACUUGAUGCAAACUCGUUUGACGCAAGUGUUUGAUCGUGAUGGAGUUAAGGAGAAGAAAGUUGUUUUGAAGAGGAAGAUGUCAGAUCGAAAUCCUGAUGGCACACAGAGGCGUAGCCCACGUGUGAAAGCUGGUUCCCAACCUGGUAAUAGCAAAGCUGAUGCGGAUAGCGUUGCUGUGAAAAUUGGUCCAAGCAAACUUGGUGGCUCCUCUGUUCGUCGGAGUCCACGAGGUUUGACAAAUAAGAAGCCUUCUUCGUCUCCUCUUCAAGAGCGGUCUUUGUUGAAAGAAAAUAAGAAGCGUAAAGUUCAUACUGCAAAGGUGAACAAAGGUGUGAAGAAGCAUGCUCGUGUUGAAGCUGAAGAUGCUGCAUCUGAAGAAGAUGGUAUUGAAGUUGAUUCAGAAGAUGAAUUUGCAGUGCCUGUUAGCGUAAUGAGUCCGGUCAAGCCGGUGGGAGGCAAUGCCGGAAAAGUUGCCUUGGAUGAAGAUACAAUGACUAUUCACAUGGGUGAGGCUAAUAAGAAGCUUCGCAUCACUAGCGAUGGUAUAUAG
rnacentral:rRNA from 1 species